rnacentral:rRNA from 1 species
AUGGCUCCUCCAUCUCUGCUCCCAACCGCGUCGGCUCGCCGCGGUCCGCGCCCGUCCUGGUGGCCCGGUAGGGUUCGUGCAGAUUCAAGCCAACACCUCCGCCCCCCUGCUCCUCCCGGGCAGUGCUUGGUGCUGGACCUAGCACCUCUAAUUGCGUGGAGUUGGCUCCUAGAGUUGGAGCCUGGGCAACUUGCCGUGCAAGGCAGGCGUCCCGGGCUGGAUCCAGCUGCCCCGUCUGCGGCUUUGCAGAUCAGCGUUGGUUGGCCCUGUCCACUGAUUCCAACGAUGAGGGCAAGCUCGUCUGUCGCGUGCUAUGUCGAUCAUUGA